rnacentral:lncRNA from 1 species
UAAAAUUCUCUGGAAAGUUGAUAUCUAAAAUAUAAUGACCAAAUUUAUCAGUGUGUUGGUCCACUGUGUUGACCCAAUUGAGUUUUGUGAGCAGUGCUGUGGUAAAAUACACAGAUCUCUAUCUUUUUGUUCUUUUCUACAUUUCAGACCCAUGCAUGCUUUUUAUAAGACAAAAAGGUAGAGUGGAUGCAUAUGAAUUUGAAAAUAAUCAUAGCAUGCUGUUCUGUUUUAUUCUUGAUUUAUAGUCUCUCUUCAUCCAGAGCAUUUUACAGUCUGUGUCUCCCUGCUUUAAAUACAGACAGAUACUGGGUGGGUGAUGUGAAAAUAGAGGGCAAGAAAUUUGAUUUUGAGAAAGGGGAAGGUGUCUGAUUUUGCUUUACAUGAAUUCCGUGUAUAUUUUAAACGCAGUUUUAUUCAAACACAAUCUAUUUUGGUUUUUUUUCCUAGAAGAACAGGACUGGUGAGAAGAGGACUGGAGGAUAUAACAUGAACUGCCUACAUCAAUCUAAAGCCUGGAAAGUUUUUAAUGGUUUUAAUGUGAAAACACUCCUGUUGUGAGGCCCUAAAGAACUCCUCCUAGAAAAGUGCAACCAAAGAAUAACCAAAAAUGAUGAUAAUUCAAUGUGAUGUAAGCAAUGCCACAGUUGAAGACUGCUCUCCAGAAGAGACCAAAAUCACAGCAGUGUUUGCUAACAAGGCUAUAACUUCACAUGAUUGGCACUGUAGUUUUGAGGAAAUUUCAACAUGUUGGUCAUUUCACAAGAAAUUGCAAGUAGUUUUGUUAGGUAAAUGUUGAUCAUUUGACAGAAGUUAGAUAGCAAUAUCUAUUCAGUAUUCAGUGUUGCACUAGAGAAGACAUUUAUGCUAUAAUAAAACAAUGUAAUUCUGAUAACCA